rnacentral:rRNA from 1 species
GACGAACGCUGGCGGCGUGCCUAAUACAUGCAAGUCGAACGCUUCUUUCCUCCCGAGUGCUUGCACUCAAUUGGAAAGAGGAGUGGCGGACGGGUGAGUAACACGUGGGUAACCUACCCAUCAGAGGGGGAUAACACUUGGAAACAGGUGCUAAUACCGCAUAACAGUUUAUGCCGCAUGGCAUAAGAGUGAAAGGCGCUUUCGGGUGUCGCUGAUGGAUGGACCCGCGGUGCAUUAGCUAGUGGGUGAGGUAACGGCUCACCAAGGCCACGAUGCAUAGCCGACCUGAGAGGGUGAUCGGCCACACUGGGACUGAGACACGGCCCAGACUCCUACGGGAGGCAGCAGUAGGGAAUCUUCGGCAAUGGACGAAAGUCUGACCGAGCAACGCCGCGUGAGUGAAGAAGGUUUUCGGAUCGUAAAACUCUGUUGUUAGAGAAGAACAAGGACGUUAGUAACUGAACGUCCCAUGACGGUAUCUAACCAGAAAGCCACGGCUAACUACGUG